CACAAAAUCAAGUCAACAGUAAUAUGAUUGCUCAGCAACAAUUUUUAAUGCAAAUUUUCAGCACAAAAACUAACAGACCGAUAUUUUGCGCCGAUUGCUCAUGAAAAACAACGUUGGGAAUGCAACUGAUCCACCACAAAUGCAACAACAGCAACAAUCAACCCAACAGCCGCACUAUCCAUCCCAACGUGAGCUUCAGUUCCAUACCCAAUCCAUAAUGCAGAACGCUUUGCUCCGUAGAAAAACUGCAGGAGCAACGCAAGGUGCUUUGUGAUCAGAACAGUCGAAUUGCUGCCGCUGUGAUUAACAAAGGUGAACCAAAUGCAGCCGUGCAGCAAUUCGUACAAUCGAUUUGUCUAAACAUUCAGCGAAGUCUUUUGGUUCUUAGUCAAACUGCUAACCGGCCGGUGACAAAUAUCCUAAUGGUACAUAUUUCUUUGCAAAGCCGUCUGCAGGAGCAACUACCCUCCGUCACGCAAAAAUUGUAUCAAGAGAAACGUGGUGGUCCCAUGAGCGCUAGAAGUUCUUAGAAAGCAUCGAAUUCUACGAAUCAAUUCCUGCAUGUUACGAGAGAACGCCCAUUCCAAUGCACACAGGCUUCAAUAGGAAACCACCGCCAGCUUCAGUUUCACCAACAGCAGGGACAGGUACAGCUAGUCAUUCUAAUGUGGUUCCUCUGUUGUCAUCUGCAGGCGCAAAUGGUUUUUCAGGUCUGCUCAGUGGUGGAAGCCACGAUGGUGAUGACAUAAUAGGUUCGCUUGAGGAGGAGACAUCGCACUGUAGGAUCAGCUCGAGCGGAAGAAGCUGUCUAAUAAGAAUAAUGUCGACAUCCAGAAGGUGAUUUGACACUUGAUAGUGCCAGGUCCGAUGCAAAUAUGCGAACGCUAGGAAAUAUCGAAAUUUACAGAGAAUACAAGGAAUCACUGCGUCAGCGCAAUCAGGUCGAUAUCUACCGACCCAAAGAGCAGCAAACCUAUACACGUAGCCCUAUUCCAAAAGUAAUAAAGUUUCGAUAAAACUCUUAAAUAGUUUUGAGAGACCGACCGUACAUGACUAUUCGAAUCGAACUAAUGAGAUGUUGUAUGAAUUUUGUAGUAAACUGGAGUUUCUUUAUUAUCACACAAAUAUAAAAUUUAGUUUCGCGAAUAGUGCUAAAAU